UACAGAACCGCUGCUUCGACUUUUACUAAGCAGCGCUGCUAACAAUUCUCGCAAAUUUUAAGGCUUUCUAAA
rnacentral:snRNA from 1 species